rnacentral:lncRNA from 1 species
GUUGGGUGCUUGUUAAAUGCUGACAGCCCGAUGAAAGGGCAUUCUGGGGGCAAAGCACAGCCUGAGCAGGGCUCAGCGCCUUGAUGGCAGGCAGCUGGCAGCAGGGAGGAUGGCUCAGCAGAAGUGUCCUUGUACCCAGGACCUCUCAUGCCUCUGGAGGACUUGGGUGAGGCUGCUGGCUUGUUUGGGUACCUCACUCAGGCUCUGCUGGUCCAACUGGCCCAACCACUUCUCUGGCACUGCCCACUGCCCCUGUGCACGGCCCUGCCAAGCUGGCAGAGACUGGGUGAAGUCUGCGUCAGGGACCUCAGAUCUCCCCCUCCCAGUCCCAAAGGCAAGGAGUAAGGGGUCCCGACCUCCAGGCUGGUCUGCUCACUCUGUGGGCUGCACAGCUGCCUCCUUCAGGAAGCCUGCUCUGUCUGUGCCCUCAGGAACAACCUCUAACAUGCGGUCUGCUGGGAAUCAGCCCAGGUGGGGGCGGCAGACCUACUUCUCCCUGUAGUUGGUGAGUGGCAGGAGCAGCA